AGGGGGACCGAAAUUUGCUGCUAAGCCACAUAACCCUGGCUUCGGCAUGGGAGGCCCCAUGCACAACGAAGUGCCCCCACCCCCCAACCUUCGAGGGCGGGGAAGAGGCGGGAGCAUCCGGGGACGAGGGCGCGGGCGAGGAUUUGGUGGCGCCAACCAUGGAGGCUACAUGAAUGCCGGUGCUGGGUAUGGAAGCUAUGGGUACGGAGGCAACUCGGCGACAGCAGGCUACAUGAUGAAAACGAUUUCACCACAUCUGAAUCCAGAGAAACCGGCUUUUUUUCUUAUUGCGAGCAUGUUAAAACGUUGGGAACAUGUGGGGAAUUGUAUAUUGCGCUGAAUUAACUUCUCCCGCCUCUUGUAAUGCUCUGGUGGGUUCUUGUUUGGGAAUGCGAUAUUUUGUGGCUGGUUUAGCUAGAGAGUGAACUCUCAAAGGUAUCAAAACUGUGCUUCCAUUAUUAGUGCAAGAAACAGA
rnacentral:lncRNA from 1 species